UGGGGAAUAUUGCACAAUGGGCGAAAGCCUGAUGCAGCAACGCCGCGUGAGGGACGACGGCCUUCGGGUUGUAAACCUCUUUUAGCAAGGAAGAAGCGAAAGUGACGGUACUUGCAGAAAAAGCGCCGGCUAACUACGUGCCAGCAGCCGCGGUAAUACGUAGGGCGCAAGCGUUAUCCGGAAUUAUUGGGCGUAAAGAGCUCGUAGGCGGUUUGUCGCGUCUGCUGUGAAAACCCGAGGCUCAACCUCGGGCCUGCAGUGGGUACGGGCAGACUAGAGUGCGGUAGGGGAGAUUGGAACUCCUGGUGUAGCGGUGGAAUGCGCAGAUAUCAGGAAGAACACCGAUGGCGAAGGCAGAUCUCUGGGCCGUAACUGACGCUGAGGAGCGAAAGGGUGGGGAGCAAACAGGCUUAGAUACCCUGGUAGUCCACCCCGUAAACGUUGGGAACUAGUUGUGGGGUCCAUUCCACGGAUUCCGUGACGCAGCUAACGCAUUAAGUUCCCCGCCUGGGGAGUACGGCCGCAAGGCUAAAACUGCAAAGGAAUUGACGGGGUCAUAGCUGUUUCCU
rnacentral:rRNA from 1 species